rnacentral:rRNA from 1 species
AUGAACGCUGGCGGCGUGCCUAAUACCUGCAAGUCGAGCGAACGGACGAGAAGCUUGCUUCUCUGAUGUUAGCGGCGGACGGGUGAGUAACACGUGGAUAACCUACCUAUAAGACUGGGAUAACUUCGGGAAACCGGAGCUAAUACCGGAUGAUAUUUUGAACCGCAUGGUUCCAAAGUGAAAGACGGUCUUGCUGUCACUUAUAGAUGGAUCCGCGCUGCAUUAGCUAGUUGGUAAGGUAACGGCUUACCAAGGCAACGAUGCAUAGCCGACCUGAGAGGGUGAUCGGUCACACUGGAACUGAGACACGGUCCAGACUCCUACGGGAGGCAGCAGUAGGGAAUCUUCCGCAAUGGGCGAAAGCCUGACGGAGCAACGCCGCGUGAGUGAUGAAGGUCUUCGGAUCGUAAAACUCUGUUAUUAGGGAAGAACAUAUGUGUAAGUAACUGUGCACAUCUUGACGGUACCUAAUCAGAAAGCCACGGCUAACUACGUG